GACAAACGCUGGCGGCGUGCUUAACACAUGCAAGUCGAGCGGAAAGGCCACUUCGGUGGUACUCGAGCGGCGAACGGGUGAGUAACACGUGAGUAAUCUGCCCCUGGCUUUGGGAUAGCCACCGGAAACGGUGAUUAAUACCGGAUACGACCACUUCUCGCAUGGGAUGGUGGUGGAAAGUUUUUUCGGCCAGGGAUGUGCUCGCGGCCUAUCAGCUUGAUGGUGAGGUAAUGGCUCACCAUGGCUUCGACGGGUAGCCGGCCUGAGAGGGUGACCGGUCACACUGGGACUGCGACACGGCCCAGACUCCUACAGGGGGCAGCAGUGGGGAAUAUUGGACAAUGGGCGGAAGCCUGAUCCAGCAACGCCGCGUGAGGGAUGACGGCCUUCGGGUUGUAAACCUCUUUCAGCAGGGACGAAGCGCAAGUGACGGUACCUGCAGAAGAAGCACCGGCCAACUACGUGCCAGCCGCCGCAGUAA
rnacentral:rRNA from 1 species